rnacentral:rRNA from 1 species
GAUGAACGCUGGCGGCGUGCCUAAUACAUGCAAGUCGAGCGAACAGACGAGGAGCUUGCUCCUCUGACGUUAGCGGCGGACGGGUGAGUAACACGUGGAUAACCUACCUAUAAGACUGGGAUAACUUCGGGAAACCGGAGCUAAUACCGGAUAAUAUAUUGAACCGCAUGGUUCAAUAGUGAAAGACGGUUUUGCUGUCACUUAUAGAUGGAUCCGCGCCGCAUUGGCUAGUUGGUUAGGUAACGGCUUACCACGGCGACCAUGCGUAGCCGACCGGCGAGGGUGAGCGGCCACAGUGGAACGGAGACGCGGUCAAGACUACUACGGGAGGCAGCAGUAGGGAAGCUUCCGCAAUGGGCGAAAACCUGACGGAGCAACGCCGCGUGAGUGAUGAAGGUCUUCGGAUCGUAAAACUCUGUUAUGAGGGAAGAACAAAUGUGUAAGUAACUAUGCACGGCUUGACGGUACCUAAUCAGAAAGCCACGGCUAACUACGUG